AUAUCUAAAUCCAGUCUUCGAGAAUUAUAAUUCAUUGGCUUCUGGGAGUCUGGCAAGAUAUACAGAAAUCUCCCCCUCAGUAUAGGAGGGCUGUCCUAUGAAUAGGGCUGGCUCUCAAAGAUGACAAU